GUGCUCCGUUUGGCAGCACAUAUACUAAAAUUGGAACGAUACAGAGAAGAAUAGUAUAGCUCCUGUGCAAGGAUGACACACAAAUUCAUGAGGCAUUUCAAAUUUAA
rnacentral:snRNA from 1 species